rnacentral:rRNA from 1 species
CUUUACUGACGCUAAAGCUCGAAGGUGCGGGUAUCGAACAGGAUUAGAUACCCUGGUAGUCCGCACGGUAAACGAUGGAUGCCCGCUGUUUGCGAUAUACUGUGAGCGGCCAAGAGAAAUCGUUAAGCAUCCCACCUGGGGAGUACGCCGGCAACGGUGAAACUCAAAGGAAUUGACGGGGGCCCGCACAAGCGGAGGAACAUGUGGUUUAAUUCGAUGAUACGCGAGGAACCUUACCCGGGCUUGAACUGCAGAGGAAGGAUCUAGAGAUAGUGACGCCCUUCGGGGCCUCUGUGGAGGUGCUGCAUGGUUGUCGUCAGCUCGUGCCGUGAGGUGUCGGCUUAAGUGCCAUAACGAGCGCAACCCUUUUCGCCAGUUGCCAUCAGGUGAUGCUGGGCACUCUGGGGAUACUGCCACCGUAAGGUGUGAGGAAGGUGGGGAUGACGUCAAAUCAGCACGGCCCUUACGUCCGGGGCUACACACGUGUUACAAUGGGGAGUACAGAGAGUCGGUCGCACGCAAGUACGAUCCAAUCAUGAAAGCUCUCCUCAGUUCGGAUUGGGGUCUGCAACCCGACCCCAUGAAGCUGGAUUCGCUAGUA